UGAAGAUGUUGUGAAAGUGGUUGUUUCACGUUAAUUUUUCAUAUUGAAGAU
rnacentral:tRNA from 1 species